CUGAAGGCAAGCUUCUCGGGAGCAGCGUAUGGCUACAAACACAUGCUGAUGGAAAGGAACCCUCAACUCUUCAAAUGGAGAUGAGGAAUGGAAUAGAGGUUCUUCCAAACUAAGCCUCCAAGAGGAACAGAGCAACAAACAGAGGACGCUGAGAGUGUCAGAAGGCCAGCAGAGCAGAAUGUCGCAGGAAGCAGCAAGGAAAGUGCCUCUGUACUCCGCCCAGCUCACAUCUACGUGAAGGACGCUUGCUCCACCUCCUGAUUUAUCAAAGCAAAAGAGAGAAAAGAUACACACACACCCCUACACACAUACCUUCCUCUCCCUCUCCAAAGCCAGAACACGCAUCGGACUCGGCUACUCUCACACAACAAAUCGGUGCCCGUACACACAAAAUUAUCCUCACACAUGAUCACCACCGGCAGCACCACUACAAAUAGCAACCACCGUUUACAGUACCUCUGCAAACAAGGGGAACGUCAAGAGGCUCUCUCAUUCCCGGCUAAGCCUUGAUCCGAAAGCGGUAUGCGUCUCCAAGGCGCCUCAGAACAUCGCCGCGUUGGUGCAAAGAGCACCCACACCGUUCUGUUUCCCUAGAAGAUCUUGCCCAGGGCCCGGGCCCGGGCCCAGCCAGAGCCGAGUCCUUGUGGCGGCCCUCCUCAAGCCACUGCAGCUCGCACCCGGAGCAAGACGGGCGCCCUUGGUCUCUAGGGCUUGUUACUAAAAACCCGAUGCGAGGACACUCGCCACGGGUCGGGCGCCUGCUCAGGUCACCGCAGCCAACAGAAAACGAGUGGCAAUGGCCGGCUAUACACUAGCAGGGAGUCGCAAGUUAAGGUCCAUGUGAUGAGGAUUCUGGAAUACUGCUUUGUUACCUUUAUCUGCUUGAUUUCAUACUGGAUGCGCUUGAUGGGGUUUCCAUAGAUGUCAUUACCGGAGUCCACCUCUUUUGCAGAGACAGCCUUCCCUCUGAUCAC